rnacentral:rRNA from 1 species
AACAAACGCUGGCGGCAUGCCUAACACAUGCAAGUCGAACGAAGGCUUCGGCCUUAGUGGCGCACGGGUGCGUAACGCGUGGGAAUCUGCCCCUAGGUACGGAAUAACAGCGAGAAAUUGCUGCUAAUACCGUAUGAUGACGUAAGUCCAAAGAUUUAUCGCCUAGGGAUGAGCCCGCGUAGGAUUAGCUUGUUGGUGAGGUAAAAGCUCACCAAGGCGACGAUCCUUAGCUGGUCUGAGAGGAUGAUCAGCCACACUGGGACUGAGACACGGCCCAGACUCCUACGGGAGGCAGCAGUGGGGAAUAUUGGACAAUGGGCGAAAGCCUGAUCCAGCAAUGCCGCGUGAGUGAUGAAGGCCUUAGGGUUGUAAAGCUCUUUUACCCGGGAAGAUAAUGACUGUACCGGGAGAAUAAGCCCCGGCUAACUCCGUGCCAGCAGCCGCUGUAA